rnacentral:rRNA from 1 species
UACGUAGGGGUGCAAGCGUUAAUCGGAAUUACUGGGCGUAAAGCGUGCGCAGGCGGCUUUGCAAGACAGAUGUGAAAUCCCCGGGCUCAACCUGGGAACUGCAUUUGUGACUGCAUGGCUGGAGUGCGGCAGAGGGGGAUGGAAUUCCGCGUGUAGCAGUGAAAUGCGUAGAUAUGCGGAGGAACACCGAUGGCGAAGGCAAUCCCCUGGGCCUGCACUGACGCUCAUGCACGAAAGCGUGGGGAGCAAACAGG